UAAUGUUACCACUCUUUUAGAUUUAUAUACUAGAUUUUCUGGUUUUCACUGGAAAACCCCA
ensembl:snRNA U7 U7 small nuclear RNA